rnacentral:rRNA from 1 species
CCACGGGAGGCAGCAGUGAGGAAUAUUGGUCAAUGGACGAGAGUCUGAACCAGCCAAGUAGCGUGAAGGAUGACUGCCCUAUGGGUUGUAAACUUCUUUUAUAUGGGAAUAAAAUGUUCCACGUGUGGGAUUUUGUAUGUACCAUAUGAAUAAGGAUCGGCUAACUCCGUUCCAGCAGCCGCGGUAAUACGGAGGAUCCGAGCGUUAUCCGGAUUUAUUGGGUUUAAAGGGUGCGUAGGCGGAAUGCCAAGUCAGCGGUAAAAUCGCGGGGCUCAACCUCGCUCCGCCGUUGAACCUGGCGUUCUUGAGUGGGCGAGAAGUAUGCGGAAUGCGUGGUGUAGCGGUGAAAUGCAUAGAUAUCACGCAGAACUCCGAUUGCGAAGGCAGCUUACCAAGCUACUUCUGACGUUGAGGCACGAAAGCGUGGGGAGCAAACAGGAUUAGAUACCCGGGUAGUC